CAAACGUUCAUUGAAAAAGAGAGGUUGCGAGGUUACCGAGGUUCAAAUUACGGGAAUCGCAAAUUGUUGUUAGAAGAACUUGCCAAAAUUACGAAAGGCUUGUUUAAGAAAGAGAACAUAUUGCUGAACAAAGAAAGAUCGCAGACUUGACAUGUCAAGGUAACCAUUGGAAAAAUUGAUCUCAGCAGCUCUCCAACUGUCCCAACCAAAAUGAAGGUCCAUUAAUUUCGAGGCCCCAAUUCCUUAGAAUUCUCAACAGAUGGGGGGUCUCUCCGAUCGCAAGUGCACAACCCACGCUUCCAAAGGCUCGAAGGCUGCGAACCAAGGUAUAAAAAGGAGUUCAGGGGAUCGAAUGAAGAUAGGAUCGGAGAUCACAAUUGAACUGAAGCCCACUAAGAGCCGCCCUGAACUGCUGGGAUAGCCAUUCAAGUCGUAUUUAGUGCAGGCGAAGAUACCAUCAGAGGCAAAGACAUUUCCAUUUCUGUCUUCUUCUUGUUCAAGACAGGAAAGAGCUCCGACCACAGCCAAGUGGAUUGGAUUGGGGGUAUUCUCCCGCCAACAUUGGCACAAACGUCCGACUCGGUCUCUAAUCAAGAUUGGCCUGUCAUUUUUUGCUAGUCUCUUGGGUCCUUCAAGCUACCAACUAAUAUCAAGGAGUGACGGUUAACUGAUCCUUUCGUGGUUGGUGAGAGUGGAGGGGUUGAAUGGGAUUCUUGGAGGGCUUUGGGGUCAACAGAAACAAGGGAUUAGGAGCAACAGUUCGCCUCUCCAUCCCCAUCAUCAUACUCGUCAGCAUCAUGAACAACAACAACAACCCUUCCCAUUGAAUGAGGAUCAGCAAUCAACUGGUUUUCACAUGAUCACAGGGGUAAAUAACAUCGACCACCAAACAGUAGGGCGACAUCGAGUCAAAACAGUUGUCCUUUGGACACGAGGAAAGACGUGCAUCCAACAGCGUGCGAGCUUUCGACAAGGAUUUCGAGUGGAUAUCGGACUGUGGUAGAUCGAGUUGGUUGACAUAUUGCACAAGACAACAAAUUUCCAUGAAUCUACGUGGUCGCGGUCGAUGCCGCUGCUGCUUUGGAAUCCGUUAAAGGAUUUGAGAGUAGCAAAAUCAGUUGGUUACUCGGUUCAAUGACACGAUGGCAUGAUUGAAAACGGUUUCAAUUCUCGAUUCCGAUGAACAAUAACAAGAUCAUCGGGCGGGAACGUGUGAGUUCAACGUUGGAAAAGGACAGGGUCUUCCUUCCUUUUACCUAGAUUCGAGAUUGACCAACGUCCUAACGGUUCAAUUAUUAAAGAAAAUCUAUGAUGAGCGCUCCACUCCCCCCCCUCAAAAAAGGGCCCGAAGGCUCAAACAAAAUGAAUUCCUCAAGUCGGACUUAAUUUACGAGUUGAAAGCUGUCUGAACGAACACAACCGUAAUGGAGUCUAUUUUGAUGUAACAUGUGGUCAGGACAUGUUCAAGUUCAUCCAGCCAGAAUGCGAUCAAACCACAAGCUAAAAGCUCACCACAAUAUCUAGAGUACGGUUAUUUCCCAACCAUUUUUGGAGGGAAUUUUUCCCGAUCAGAGCGAUCCUGACAUGCUGUCAUCAAAGUGAGUGUAUCAACCAUCAGGUGGUUGAUGUGAGGGGAUAAAGCAGGACCAGAUCAAAAUGAACCUUUCCAAAAGCUGGGUUGCAACACAAUUCGGAAGGAAUCAAGAAAACUUUGACGACCCACCACGACAACUUGAAUCUUAUCAGAAAAGUGUCGAACUUGAGCAAUCCGCCCAGCGUCUCAUUUGACACCCAAGAUCCUAGAGGAAUAUACUGUACGUGCUACGUACUGGUCCGCGUGUGGGGCUGUUUCAUCUUUAAACCACGACUAAAAUGACGAUGUCCCAAUCACGUAUUUCAUCACAGCCACACAGAACAGGCUCGAAGCUACGGGCAAGGCAGUCGUCAAACCAUCCACUGGCCCAACCACCCAACCAACCAACCAACCAACCAACCAACCAACCAACCAACCAACCAACCAACCAACCAACCAACCAACCAAGCGCCAAAUUUUUAGACAAACACGAUUCACGUAAACGUACUCAGUCCUACAUACGUACACAGGGAUGCCACUUCAACGUCGAUGGAUCGGAAUUGAUACUUAAAAUUUCUUGUUCGAUUUUUUUUUUAAAUCCUGGCCUCAUUAGCAUAUGGUUGAAAUUAAUCACCAGCCCUAUGAGUCAGGACGGCAUCCCGGGCAACCCUGUUUCCAUGGCUGAACUGCGUAUGGCUGUUUCAACGGACAAGGUGGGAAAUCUUCAAGGGCCCGACAGCUUCGCUUCGUGGUGAUCAAGGCAUGGGAGCAGCAUUAUUUCCCGCUACUUUCACCGUGAGACUCAUAUUCUUCCCGUAUGACCUUGUCACUGGGAUUCGAAAGACAAAAGAUCAUGAGGAUGAUAAUGUUCAUCAUCAUCACCACCACUUUUAUUAGAGCCAAUGUGUAUUGCCAAUUCUUCAUAAAGGGAAUAUAAUACAGGCUAGUUUAAAAAAAAUCUGAGCAAUAUAUUUUGGUGGCUCGUUUAACCUUCAAAUGAAAAUGAAUCCAUCACCCAGACCAAUGGUGACAACAUUGUUCAUGGCUUGCCAAUAGCGGGGUAUUGAUAGGAAA